AAAUUUAGGUUAACUAUUUAAACCAAGGACCUUCAAAGCCCUAAAUAUUGAGCUAAACCUCAUAAUUUCUG
rnacentral:tRNA from 1 species